GCUUACACAUGCAAGUCGAGCGAGAAAGCUCUCUUCGGAGAGUGAGUAGAGCGGCGCACGGGUGAGUAACGCGUGGAUGAUCUACCCUGAAGAUCGGGAUAACAGUUGGAAACGACUGCUAAUACCGUAUAUCCUGCAUAUUUAACUUUAUGUGGUAAAGAUGGCCUCUAUUUAUAAGCUAUCGCUUUGGGAUGAGUCCGCGUCUCAUUAGAUAGUUGGUGGGGUAAUGGCCUACCAAGUCUACGAUGAGUAGCAGGUCUGAGAGGAUGAUCUGCCACACUGGGACUGAAACACGGCCCAGACUCCUACGGGAGGCAGCAGUGGGGAAUAUUGCGCAAUGGGGGAAACCCUGACGCAGCGACGCCGCGUGUAGGAAGAAGGCUUUCGGGUCGUAAACUACUGUCAAGANGGAAGAAACUGUUUAGGUAUAANACGCCUAUUCACUGACGGUACCUCUAGAGGAAGCACCGGCUAACUCCGUGCGAC
rnacentral:rRNA from 1 species